rnacentral:rRNA from 1 species
AUUGAACGCUGGCGGAAUGCUUUACACAUGCAAGUCGAACGGCAGCACGGACUUCGGUCUGGUGGCGAGUGGCGAACGGGUGAGUAAUACAUCGGAACGUGCCCAGUCGUGGGGGAUAACGUAGCGAAAGCUACGCUAAUACCGCAUACGAUCUACGGAUGAAAGCGGGGGAUCGCAAGACCUCGCUCGAUUGGAGCGGCCGAUGGCAGAUUAGGUAAUUGGUGGGGUAAAGGCUCACCAAGCCGACGAUCUGUAGCUGGUCUGAGAGGACGACCAGCCACACUGGGACUGAGACACGGCCCAGACUCCUACGGGAGGCAGCAGUGGGGAAUUUUGGACAAUGGGCGCAAGCCUGAUCCAGCCAUUCCGCGUGCAGGAUGAAGGCCCUCGGGUUGUAAACUGCUUUUGUACGGAACGAAAAGGCUCUGGUUAAUACCUGGGGCUCAUGACGGUACCGUAAGAAUAAGCACCGGCUAACUACGUGCCAGCCGCCGCGGUAACAC